GAGCAGCCAUUAUGCAGUUUAUCAAAGGAGGGAGAAGAUGAGAUGAUCAGAGAUCGAUAAAAGUUUGGUUUUUGUUCAUUUUACUCGGUGGUGAAGUUGGGUUUUGCCUGGAAAAAAAAGUCUAUUUUCAUGUACUCAACGGGACUUGGUUGGGCCGAAGAAAGCGGAUUGUUUUCUGAGAUCCAUGAGCGGAAGAAACAAGAUGGCGAACCAACCCUGAACCAUGAAAGUGAUCCUAGCGAAGGACCAAGCGCCCUCUGCUGGACACUGGACAACCCUUUCUCUGCUGGAACUGCAGGUGGCGUUUGAGUCUGUGAGGCGGUAUGGAGACGUUAGCCAGCAUCAAAAUGGCAGAAGGACCAGAGUCAUCGUCUGUCGACUUUGUUGCUCUCCAGUCUUACAGAUAACCGAAGAACUGGACCGUGGACUGUCUCCUCUGGCAUCCUCAGCCCUACCAGGCUGAGGAAAGGGAGGACUGUGCUGCAGCACAACUGCCAGACUAAGGGAGGAUUUUCAGGGUGGGACGGGGAGGUCCUAGGGGUCCACAGGAGCCACAAAUAUCCAGGGAUUUCUUUUGGAGUCCCUGCAGAUGUUGUCCUCCAGUUCCUGAAUUCUACACCAGCAGACGCUUCUCAACCGUGACCUUCUGCUCUGGCCUCCUUGUUCCGGUCCCUCCAGCCCGCAUGUCGCAUGGAGGAGAGCAAUAGUCCCAUGGCCCCCCUGGACCAAACACACGGCUGCCAGCAGCUCCAGCACCAGUUCGCCUGGUGAGCACUAAGACCCAGGGGAACACUUCACCUCUGCGUCUGCCCCCACGACCCGGUUCUGAAGAAGAUGGAUCGUUCAGAACUUUCUGACUGCAGCUUUUCCCUAUUUUCUCUUGUUACUAUGGUGAUUGAUGUUCAUCAGAGCAGAAGCUGGAUUCUGACAUUCAGAGUAUAAGAAGAUAAUAUUAACUGUAAUAAAUAAGUGUAUUAAUAGCUAUCCAUUUAGAGCAACAGGAAAAUGGAUUUGUUUCCAUUGCUCUCAUAGAUUGUCAUAACCCCCCCCUCAAGUCAGCUGAGCAGAGGGUCCUUGUUUUUGCUGGAAUAGGGAUUACCAGACAUGGUUGAGGCCACAAUGCCAGCGGUGGUGUUCAUAUCAUGUGUCUGGAGGUAAGUGCCUGAACCUCUGGUCCCUGAGCUGAAGGCUGGCUGGAGGGGGAGGUUCUGGGCUUUACUGAGGGAGUGGGAGCUGUAGAUGUCCAGCAGAGAUCUUCUCUGGUGUAGUAGGUGGUGUCAAGGAUCUUCUAAAUCUGCAUUGUCUUCAUCCCCCUCCCACAGAUCCCCCUCCCUAUCUUAAGUUUUGCAGCGGUGCGGCCAGGGGAGGCAGUCCUAGUUUUCGGGAGCCCUUCUGGAUUGCCAUGGACUGUCACCCCUGACAUCAUCAGCCUGGUAAGGAGGAGGAGGAGGGCCACCAUGCUGCAGCACAGCUGCCUUACAACUGUGAGCCCCCCAAUCCAUGAAAACCAGCGGGCUGUCAUACACAUGCAAAAAUGGAGCUGCAAAAGUAACUUUUUAUUUUCAAAAAUCGUUCUUUAGUGAGCCAAAGGUAAUUAAUUAUCAUAUUUCUGCAUGUAGACUAUAGAAUAGCAUGAAAUGUCCUUUAAAUCUGCUGUCCCCUCUGUCUCUGUUCAGUUGGAACCUUCCAGGAGGGGGGUGGCGGUCGCCAGCGUGUCCGUGAGGAUCCUUCAGGACUUUCUGACUGCAGCUUCUCCCUGACUAACCAACUCUAAUCCUAACCCAACCUCUAACCCUAAAUCCUAAACCUUACCUGCCCCACCCCCCUCUGACCCCUGUAGUAGGGGGUGUCAAAGAUCUGCUCAAAUCUGCGUUGACUGACACAUCACCUGACCUCAUCUUAACCCUAACCUCCACCAAACCAAACCCCCCACCCCAGCCAUAGCAUGGCCUCCACCCAUCCCUGACCUGAAACUAAUCCUAACCCCAACCCAAGUGACCCCCCCCCCCCACCCCUAAUCCUAGUUGGGUUUUAUUUAUGUUGUAAAUGUUCAUUUUUAUCACAUGUAUUAAACUGCCCCACUAUGUGUGUGUUUGUGUGUAUAAAUGUGUUGUUGCCUCUCAUAGUUCCAUCAAAUGUCUAAAUGUGUAACAUCACAAAAAGUUAAUAAAGGUUUUAUUGUUUCA